CCCUAUGGGGUGCCAUUUCAGCAUGGUCAUGGGGACUGAGCCGUGCGAUGGAUUAUUUCGCCCCGGAUCCGCAGAUUGAUGCAGGGAGAGUUGCAUUGUUCGGUGUAUCACGUCUGGGUAAAACAGUUCUAUGGACAGGAGCCCGUGAUACCCGUUUCGGAAUGGUCAUUGCCAGCUGUGGUGGAGAAGGAGGAGCUGCCAUAUCAAGGAGAUGGUAUGGAGAGACCAUCGAUCACAUGACCCAUCCCACAAGAUACUUUUAUCAGUUUGCCGGCAACUGGAGGAAUUUUAAGGACGAUCCGUCUGACUCACCUGUCGACGGACAUAUGCUGGUUGCAUUGAUGGCACCAAGACCAUUAUUAUUACAGACCGGGGAUACAGAUUACUGGUCUGAUCCGAAAGGAGAAUUUAUUGCAGCUGUGGCGGGAGGGC
rnacentral:rRNA from 1 species